rnacentral:rRNA from 1 species
AUUGAACGCUGGCGGCAGGCCUAACACAUGCAAGUCGAACGAGUUGCGCACGUGUGAGUAAUGUCUGGGAAACUGCCUUAUGGAGGGGUAUAACUACUGGAAACUUUCUCUCAUACCGUAUACCAUCCUAUUUUCCCCUAUGGGAUUAGCUAGUUGGUGGGGUAACGGCUCACCAAGGCGACGAUCCCUAGCUUGUCUGAGAGUAUGACCAGCCACACUGGAACUGAGACACGGUCCGGACUCCUACGGGAGGCAGCAGUGGGGAAUAUUGCACAAUGGGCGCAAGCCUGAUGCAGCCAUGCCGCGUGUAUGAAGAAGGCCUUCGGGUUGUAAAGUACUUUCAGCGGGGAGGCGUUACCCGCAGAAGAAGCACCGGCUAACUCCGUGCCAGCAGCCGCGGUAAUUC